AUCCACUUGACGAGUCCCAAGUAGGACGGAACGCGCGUCCUGGAU
rfam:Schistosoma haematobium scaffold271_7, whole genome shotgun sequence.